rnacentral:rRNA from 1 species
UACGGAGGGUGCAAGCGUUAUCCGGAUUUAUUGGGUUUAAAGGGUGCGCAGGCGGAACUUUAAGUCAGUGGUGAAAGCCCGAGGCUCAACCUCGGAACUGCCAUUGAUACUGAUGUUCUUGAAUGUAGUUGAUGUGGGCGGAAUGUGCCAUGUAGCGGUGAAAUGCUUAGAUAUGGCACAGAACACCGAUCGUGAAGACAGCUCACAAAACUAUUAUUGACGCUCAGGCACGAAAGCGUGGGGAUCAAACAGGAUUAGAUACCCUGGUAGUCCACGCUGUAAACGUUGAUCACUCGACAUUGGCGAUAUACGGUCAGUGUCCAAGCGAAAGUGUUUAGUGAUCCACCUGGGGAGUACGCCCGCAAGGGUG